rnacentral:rRNA from 1 species
GACGAACGCUGGCGGCGUGCUUAACACAUGCAAGUCGAACGGAAAGGCCCUGCUUGCAGGGUACUCGAGUGGCGAACGGGUGAGUAACACGUGGGUAAUCUGCCCUGCACUUCGGGAUAACCCUGGGAAACUGGGUCUAAUACCGGAUAGGAGCCCCUGUUGGUGUGAUGGUGGGGAAGUUUUUUCGGUGUAGGAUGAGCUCGCGGCCUAUCAGCUUGUUGGUGGGGUAAUGGCCUACCAAGGCGGCGACGGGUAGCCGGCCUGAGAGGGUGGACGGCCACAUUGGGACUGAGAUACGGCCCAGACUCCUACGGGAGGCAGCAGUGGGGAAUAUUGCACAAUGGGUGCAAGCCUGAUGCAGCGACGCCGCGUGGGGGAUGACGGCCUUCGGGUUGUAAACUCCUUUCGCUAGGGACGAAGCUUUUUGUGACGGUACCUAGAUAAGAAGCACCGGCUAACUACGUG